GACACUUCAUUGUCUCCCGUUCAUUUGAAAAGUGAGACAUUUGCCGGUUAGACGAUGAUCUGGUGCUGUGGUUUUACUCAGUGAUUUUGUUUAUUUAGUGUUAAUGCAAGACGUCGAUUCGACAAACGUGCUUGCGCUGCUCGCCCGUCGAGGGUAUACGCAGUGUCACGGAUUGGAUUCCAUCGCUUCUGAGACAAUGUUUAUUGUCAAGACGGUAGGUCGGUAUACCAUCGUGUUACUGGAGGCUUAGCUGGCAUUUUUAAUUACUGGUUUUAUCUUCAUC